GGGAAUAUUGGACAAUGGGCGCAAGCCUGAUCCAGCAAUGCCGCGUGUGUGAAGAAGGCCUUCGGGUUGUAAAGCACUUUUAUCGGGAGCGAAAAGCGAUGGGUUAAUACCCUGUCGUGCUGACGGUACCCGAUGAAUAAGCACCGGCUAACUUCGUGCCAGCAGCCGCGGUAAUACGAAGGGUGCAAGCGUUAGUCGGAAUUACUGGGCGUAAAGCGUGCGUAGGCGGUUUCUUAAGUCUGCCGUGAAAGCCCCGGGCUCAACCUGGGAAUGGCGGUGGAUACUGGGAAGCUGGAGUGCGGUAGAGGAGGGUGGAAUUCCCGGUGUAGCGGUGAAAUGCGUAGAGAUCGGGAGGAACAUCAGUGGCGAAGGCGGCCCUCUGGACCAGCACUGACGCUGAGGCACGAAAGCGUGGGGAGCAAA
rnacentral:rRNA from 1 species